UUUUUUAUUAAGAUUGACUGUUAUGUUCAAAUUUUUUAUUUUCAUAUUAUUUUGUUCAUAUUAUUUAGAUAUGCAGUACAACUGUUUUAAAUGUACAACAUUGAUACAAAGAAAUGUGUUUUGAUUAGUUUCAAUUAUCGUAAAUCAUUCUAUAUUUAUAGCAGUUGGACUCUUACAAAUGAAUGUUUUUAAUAUUAUUAAUUGCAAUUUGAAAGAAAUAAGUUGGAAUAUAUUCAUUGUAUUUCUUUAUGCUAUCAAAUGCCUCAAUAAACAGUGACAAUAUGUAAGUUAUACUCGAAUAAUAACUUGAAAUUUUAGCAUGUACCUGGUAAGAUUAUAUAAGAUGUACUUUGCUGGAUUUCUGGCUAAUCUCAUUAAUAAGAUGCUUGAUUUGUGCAAUUAGCCUAGUGAUAUUUAUAUUGAAGCACAUAUAAGUAUUUGCCUAUUGAAGAAAUAUGACAGUUAAAAGAUCUAAUUGAAGAAAAAUCUGACAUUCUUAAAUAUUAUGUAAAGUCUUUCAUGAUGCGAAAAAAUAAAUGUUUUUAUUUAUUAUAAUGGUGCAAAAUUCUUAUCAAAUUAUUCUAUUACAAAUAAACUAAU
rnacentral:lncRNA from 1 species